rnacentral:rRNA from 1 species
UACGUAGGGCGCAAGCGUUAUCCGGAAUUAUUGGGCGUAAAGAGCUCGUAGGCGGCUUGUCACGUCGGGUGUGAAAGCCCGGGGCUUAACCCCGGGUCUGCAUUCGAUACGGGCAGGCUAGAGUGUGGUAGGGGAGAUCGGAAUUCCUGGUGUAGCGGUGAAAUGCGCAGAUAUCAGGAGGAACACCGGUGGCGAAGGCGGAUCUCUGGGCCAUUACUGACACUGAGACACGAAAGCGUGGGGAGCAAACGGG